GCAAAAGGGUCAUUUUCUAAUGCGCUCUAUUUGGUAAUCAAUCAAUCAAAAAGGUCAUUUCCCCCCUAAUAAAUGUUGUAAACUAUAAGCAAUAUAAAAGAACAAUGACUUGCUCACAAAGUCAAUUGUAUUAUUAAGAUAAUAUACUUAGAUAUUAUGAUAUCCAUGUAUAAGAUUUGGUCACUAAAUUGACAUUUUUGCCCUUUUUGCUCCCGUAACAUGAUACCAACAUUAUUAUCACCAUUCUUCUACAAAAAAAAAAAAUAUUAUCAUCAUUGGUCAAUACAUUAUUCCCCCUGAACCUCAUUUAUGGUAUUUCUCUUAUUUCC
rnacentral:lncRNA from 1 species